rnacentral:rRNA from 1 species
ACAUCAGCACAGGUGCUGCAUGGCCGUCGUCAGCUCGUGCCGUGAGGUGUUGGGUUAAGUCCCGCAACGAGCGCAACCCCCGCCGUUAGUUGCCAGCGGUUCGGCCGGGCACUCUAACGGGACUGCCCGCGAAAGCGGGAGGAAGGAGGGGACGACGUCUGGUCAGCAUGGCCCUUACGGCCUGGGCGACACACGUGCUACAAUGCCCACUACAAAGCGAGGCCACCCGGCAACGGGGAGCUAAUCGCAAAAAGGUGGGCCCAGUUCGGAUUGGGGUCUGCAACCCGACCCCAUGAAGCCGGAAUCGCUAGUAAUCGCGGAUCAGCCAUGCCGCGGUGAAUACGUUCCCGGGCCUU